AUGAGUUAUACAGAUAUAGGAGGGUGUAGAUUAGUUAUACGGAUAUAGGAGGGUGUGGAUGGGUUAUACAGAUACAGGAGGUUGUGGAUGAGUAAUACAGAUAUAAGGAGGGUGUGGAUAGGUUGUAAGAUAUAGGAAGGGUGAAUGAGUCACACAUAUAUAGGAGGGUGUAGAUGAGUAAUAUAGAUAUAGGAAAGUGUGGAUGGGUUUGACAGAUAUAGGCGGGUGUGAAUGGGUUAUACAGAUACAGGAGGUUGUGGAUGAGUAAUACAGAUAUAAGGAGGGUGUGGAUAGGUUGUACAGAUAUAGGAAGGUGUGAAUGAGUCACACAUAUAUAGGAGGGUGUAGAUGAGUAAUAUAGAUAUAGGAAUGUGUGGAUGGGUUUUACAGAUAUAGGAUAUAUAGAAUAGAAAAUGAUAGGGUGAGGGUGUAACAAUAUAAAGAAUAGAUAAUGAUAGGGUGUAACAAUAUAAAGAAUAUAGAAUGAUAGGGUGUAACGAUAUAAAGAAUAGAUAAUGGUAGGGUGUAACAAUAUAAAGAAUAGAGAAUGAUAGAGUA
rnacentral:lncRNA from 1 species